rnacentral:rRNA from 1 species
CACCAGACUCCUACGGGAGGCAGCAGUGGGGGAUAUUGCACAAUGGGGGGAACCCUGAUGCAGCGACGCCGCGUGGGUGAAGAAGUAUUUCGGUAUGUAAAGCCCUAUCGGCAGGGAAGAAAUUGGACGGUACCUGACUAAGAAGCCCCGGCUAACUACGUGCCAGCAGCCGCGGUAAUACGUAGGGGGCAAGCGUUAUCCGGAUUCACUGGGUGUAAAGGGAGCGUAGACGGCCAUGCAAGCCUGGAGUGAAAGCCCGGGGCCCAACCCCGGGACUGCUCUGGGAACUGUGCGGCUGGAGUGCGGGAGGGGCAGGCGGAAUUCCUGGUGUAGCGGUGAAAUGCGUAGAUAUCAGGAGGAACACCGGCGGCGAAGGCGGCCUGCUGGACCGCGACUGACGUUGAGGCUCGAAAGCGUGGGGAGCAAACAGGAUUAGAUACCCCUGUAACG